rnacentral:rRNA from 1 species
AGGGGAGUUUGGAUCAUGGCUCAGAACGAACGCUGGCGGCAGGCCUAACACAUGCAAGUCGCAGGGGAAGCCGUCCUUCGGGGCGGUGGAGACUGGCGCACGGGUGAGUAACGCGUGGGUAUCUGCCCCGGGGUGGGGGAUAACCGCUGGAAACGGCGGCUAAUACCGCAUACGCCCUUUGGGGGAAAGCCGAGAGGCGCUCUGGGAGGAGCCCGCGUCCGAUUAGCUUGUUGGUGGGGUAACGGCCCACCAAGGCAUCGAUCGGUAGCUGGUCUGAGAGGAUGAUCAGCCACACUGGGGCUGAGACACGGCCCAGNACUCCUACGGGAGGCAGCAGUGGGGAAUAUUGGACAAUGGGCGCAAGCCUGAUCCAGCCAUGCCGCGUGAGUGAAGAAGGCCUUAGGGUUGUAAAGCUCUUUCGCCCGUGAAGAUGAUGACGGUAGCGGGAGAAGAAGCCCCGGCUAACUCCGUGCCAGCAGUCGCGGNUAAUACGGAGGGGGCGAGCGUUGUUCGGAAUUACUGGGCGUAAAGGGCGCGUAGGCGGGAUGUCAAGUCAGGGGUGAAAGUCCUGGGCUCAACCUGGGGGACUGCCCUUGAAACUAUCAUUCUUGAGACCGGGAGAGGAUGGGCGGAAUUCCCAGUGUAGAGGUGAAAUUCGUAGAUAUUGGGAAGAACACCGGUGGCGAAAGGCGGCCAUCUGGACCGGGAUCUUGA